rnacentral:lncRNA from 1 species
CAAUUGAAUAUUUGGUCAAACUACUGCCAUAUUCUUCCUUCAAGUCACUAUGCUAUGAAGAGGCAUGCACCGUGCAUAGAACAGAGCCAUCUGUACCCUUUCAGAUGAUUGUGACAGCAAGUCUUUGGACUUCUGCUGGCAUGGAAUCCUACAUACGUGUUACUGACACAUAAAAACUACCUUUGUAAUCCUUCUACAAUCAGCUUCUCUCCUGGAUCCCUGCCAGAUCUCUAGAGCAAAUGUAUGACUUCAUAACAAUGUCCUCCUUCAAGAAAACAGAACAAAAGAAAGCAAUUAUUAAUAGUUAUUAAGAACGCUUCGCUGGAGUCUAGAAAUACAGAAUGACAGACACACCUACCUCAAUGGGUUGCAUUUACAUCAGAGCAGUGAUCAGCCUACCAGGAAAAUUAUCACUGUAACCAACACACUCAUUGUUGAAAGUGAUCAUGAGAUUCUGAACUGUAGUUUAGGGAAGCGAUGGAGGCGGCAGAAGGCCGGGCGAGAGCUGUGCUACCCGUGCAGGACAGUUCGAGAGUGACACCGCGUGGAGCCGCUGGGAGCGGCCCCUAAGGCUCAGCCAGAGGAAGGAACUAAGCACUGCUACAGCCUGGAAAGAAAUUUAAACAGGCAGAUAGUCCUUUGUGUUUAAUCCAGGAUAAGGAAAAAAAAAAAAAAAAAAAAACAACAACUAUAUGCUUUCACUUAUGCAUUUAUUUUUAGGCAUUUGCUACACUGCUAGGCGUAUCUUGCACCUAAAA